CCCUUAGACGUUCUGGGCCGCACGCGCGCUACACUGACCAGUGCAACAAGCAUCCGUCCUUGGCCGACAGGCCCGGGCAAUCUUUGAACGCUGGUCGUGAUGGGGAUAGACUUUUGCAAUUUUUGGUCUUCAACGAGGAAUUCCUAGUAAACGCAAGUCAUCAACUUGCAUUGAUUACGUCCCUGCCCUUUGUACACACCGCCCGUCGCACCUACCGAUUGAAUGGUCCGGUGAAGCCUCCGGAUUGGCGCGCACCUCGGUGCCGCCGAGAAGUUGGCUAAACCUUACCAUUUAGAGGAAGGUGAAGUCGCAACA
rnacentral:rRNA from 1 species